rnacentral:lncRNA from 1 species
UUGGAUAUCUUAAAAAAUUGACUGUUUAAAUAAUGUAUUAUAUGAUGUACUAUUUCAAUUAGAUGUUUUUUUACAUCUCAAGGUCGAUCGGAUUUGAGAGGUUUUUUUUUUUUUGCAUCAAAACAACUACUUCUAUAGUGAAAAAAAAAAGAGAGAGCCGCAAGACUGUUUGAUAGUAGGAAAUUGCUUUCCAAAAAUUGAAACAUACCUUUUCAUAAAAAAAAAUAAAAAUAAAUAAUUAACUUCAUUUUACUUCCUCUUCCCAACUUUAUUCAUGAAAACAUUGGAACUUAAAAAAAGCAAGAUUUGCCUUGCCCUCGUUCUCCUACUCGCUGCUCUCCUCUGCUCGUGCACCGGUACUCACAUGCCUCUCCCUCUCCUAUGUUCCCUCUCAUCCCCGACCUUCUCUAUCUCUCUAGGGUUCUCACACCUCUGCACUCUCUCUCUAGAGCUCUCACACCCCUGCACUCUCUCUCUGUGCACUAGGCGUCUGUACUCUCUCUCUCUAGAGCUCUCACACCCCUGCGCUCUCUCUAUCGCCAAUUUGGGUUGUAGCCCUCGUAAACCGUUUUUUUAUUUUUCUCAUCAAU